rnacentral:rRNA from 1 species
GAUGAACGCUGGCGGCGUGCCUAAUACAUGCAAGUCGAGCGAACAGACGAGGAGCUUGCUCCUCUGACGUUAGCGGCGGACGGGUGAGUAACACGUGGAUAACCUACCUAUAAGACUGGGAUAACUUCGGGAAACCGGAGCUAAUACCGGAUAAUAUAUUGAACCGCAUGGUUCAAUAGUGAAAGACGGUUUUGCUGUCACUUAUAGAUGGAUCCGCGCUGCAUUAGCUAGUUGGUAAGGUAACGGCUUACCAAGGCAACGAUGCGUAGCCGACCUGAGAGGGUGAUCGGCCACACUGGAACUGAGACACGGUCCAGACUCCUACGGGAGGCAGCAGUAGGGAAUCUUCCGCAAUGGGCGAAAGCUUGACGGAGCAACGCCGCGUGAGUGAUGAAGGUCUUCGGAUCGUAAAACUCUGUUAUUAGGGAAGAACAAAUGUGUAAGUAACUAUGCACAUCUUGACGGUACCCAAUCAGAAAGCCACGGCUAACUACGUG